CUGGGAGUCAUGAUGACGUAAUCGGUUCCGAAAGUGUCCGUCGGAUACAACUGGCUCCUGUCCCCUUUCUGCCGGCCGUACAUGACACACACAUCUCCGGUGGCUAUUAGCAACAAAGCUACUGGUUUCUCAUUCCUCCAUAGAUCGGAGGA